CUGCCAUCAGCUGUGUGCACAAGCUGAGUGCAUAAGUUAAGGUUCCCCAAUGCUGUCACGAAUAUAUACAACCCUUCGUUUCGUCACUUGGAACAUUCGUGGGGUUAAAAGCACCCGGAAUUUACCAAAAAAGUUUGCAAAUGUGUUGAGCAACCUCAAUAACCUUCAGGCUGAUAUUGCCUUCAUACAAGAAACACAUAUUGGACCAAAGUGUUACAAAAUAUUGGAAGAUGAGACAGGAAAAGACUGGAAAAUCUUUUUCACUGUGCACAGCUCCCGCAGCAAAGGAGUUGCCAUACUGAUAAGAGACAAAGUACCAUUUGAGUGCAU
ensembl:lncRNA